AACGAACGCUGGCGGCAUGCCUAACACAUGCAAGUCGAACGAGACCUUCGGGUCUAGUGGCGCACGGGUGCGUAACGCGUGGGAAUCUGCCCUCUGGUACGGAAUAACUCAGGGAAACUUGAGCUAAUACCGUAUAAUGACUUCGGUCCAAAGAUUUAUCGCCUGAGGAUGAGCCCGCGUAGGAUUAGCUUGUUGGUGAGGUAAAGGCUCACCAAGGCGACGAUCCUUAGCUGGUCUGAGAGGAUGAUCAGCCACACUGGGACUGAGACACGGCCCAGACUCCUACGGGAGGCAGCAGUGGGGAAUCUUGGACAAUGGGCGAAAGCCUGAUCCAGCCAUGCCGCGUGAGUGAAGAAGGCCUUAGGGUUGUAAAACUCUUUCGCCGGAGAAGAUAAUGACGGUAUCCGGAGAAGAAGCCCCGGCUAACUUCGUG
rnacentral:rRNA from 1 species